rnacentral:rRNA from 1 species
UACGUAGGGGGCAAGCGUUGUCCGGAAUUAUUGGGCGUAAAGAGCGCGUAGGCGGUCCGGUAAGUCGGUUGUGAAAGUCGGGGGCUCAACCCUCGGAUGCCGAUCGAUACUGUCGGGCUAGAGUCCGGAAGAGGCGAGUGGAAUUCUCGGUGUAGCGGUGAAAUGCGUAGAUAUCGAGAGGAACACCUGCGGCGAAGGCGGGUUGCUGGGCUGACACUGACGCUGAAGCGCGAAAGCUAGGGGAGCGAACGGG